rnacentral:rRNA from 1 species
ACGUAGGGUGCGAGCGUUAAUCGGAAUUACUGGGCGUAAAGCGUGCGCAGGCGAUUUUAUAAGCCAGAUGUGAAAUCCCCGGGCUCAACCUGGGAACUGCAUUUGGAACUGUAAGACUAGAGUAUAGCAGAGGGGGGUAGAAUUCCACGUGUAGCAGUGAAAUGCGUAGAUAUGUGGAGGAAUACCAAUGGCGAAGGCAGCCCCCUGGGUUAAUACUGACGCUCAUGCACGAAAGCGUGGGGAGCAAACAGGAUUAGAUACCCUGGUAGUCCACGCCCUAAACGAUGUCAACUAGGUGUUGGGGGAGGAGACUUCCUUAGUACCGUAGCUAACGCGUGAAGUUGACCGCCUGGGGAGUACGGUCGCAAGAUUA